UAUUCUUUAAAAAUAUUAAAGAUAAAUUCCUGUCUUGUAUCAAAAGGUCAAAAAGAUAAAAGCAUAAAAGUAACCUUAAGGACAUGCGGUAUCCGUAGUGUAGGCCCUCAAGGCAGCUGUGAACACAUAGCGUCAAAAGUGACAAGGUUGGGUGGGGUGGGGUUGGGGGGCCGACAGAUUCCCUAACCCCUUCCAUUACAUUAUUUAAUCUCACUGAAAAUCUUCAUAUCUAGAGGCCUGGUGGUUCUGACAACUGAGAGUAUUAUAUGUGGAAAGAGAAAGUAAAUUCAUGAAAGACAGAUUUUGAUUUUUCCUAAUUUUGAGAGAGUGGUUUUAUCCAUGAGAACCACAGUUAUAUGACAAUUGUUUAAUAAAAAAGAUCCAGCAGCAGAAUCUAACCCUCUACCUUCCCUCCUUUAGACGGUGAACGGAUUAGCUGUCCAAACUCUUAGGAGAAGGCAGAAUGGAUGGACAUGUCACACACAUUGUUCUCUGGGAAGGUUCUUCAUCUGGUGCUUCCAUGGGUGAAACUAAAGAAGAGGUGAUCUCUGUACAUGCUGGCUCUCCUUUACCAUCUGCCAUGAGUGGAAGCAGCCUGAGUCCCUCUCCAGAAGCAGAUUCUGGCACCAUGAUUCCUAUACAGCCUAUAGAGCUGUGAGCUAAAUGAACCUGCUUUCUUUGUAAAUUACUCAGCCUCAGGUCUCCCUUUUUAACAAUACAAAAACAGACUAAAACAAAAAGUCAUUGAUAUUAAUGUAUUAACAUAAGCACAUUUCUUAUAUCCUGUGCCUAAUAUAUAAUAUCUGCUCUAAAAAAUAGUUUUCUUUUACUAAUACUAAGAAGAUACUACAUUUAGUAAACAAUGGAGAUCCUGAGGCUAACAUCUGGCUGAGGGUGAUGAAAGAAACCUGCUAUGAUUAUGCCUGGUUCUGUGACAACCAGAGGCUCAGCCUGGGACACUGACUGUUCUCUCUGACCUCACAGAAAAGGCACUGCCGGUAUUCCUCUUGGCUUUCUCGGUGAGACAAUGAAGUGAGAAAGGAAGAAAGGAAAGAACAUGCCACAGUUGCUGUCACAGAGAAAAGGAAUGGAAAAUUGGUUGGACUGAGGGGAUAAAGAUGUACCUCUCGGGGACAC
rnacentral:lncRNA from 1 species